rnacentral:tRNA from 1 species
UGCAACCCUGGGGGAUGUGCAGAGAGCCGGGCCCGCGGGCGGUCAACCUGAUCGCGGGUGCCCGCCCCCAGAAGGCCCCGCGUAGGGUCGGGGAAGGGCGGUGGGGGUCGGAGUUUAACGGAUUUUAUUCUUUGGCUGCCUUUACACGGGGUAUCGUGAAGAGACAGAAGAGGAUGCGAAACUCAGGAUUAUAAUUGGUCUCAGCCUACUAUUACAGAGACAAACAACUUUUGCACCGCCCCGCUUGGGAAAAUGCUCUCCCAGUCUCAAGAAAAUUGAUCGAGCCAGUUUAACAAUAAGGUUGGCAGCGGUGGGAUUCGAACCCACGCCCCCGAAGAGACUGGAGCCUUAAUCCAGCGCCUUAGACCGCUCGGCCACGCUACCGUACAUACGAUAGCCUAAAACUCUUCCUGAUAGUUUAAAAGGUACAAGACUGUUCUUGCACGUGUUAUUUUCUUCUAGAGCCUUUUGUGCUCUGUUUCUGAUACCCGAGGGUAAAGGGAGAGGCAGCCAACGCUCAACAUCCAUCAAACUCGAAAGUAAUUAGCCCUUGACAAAAUGAUCGGAAUUCACCACCGCCGACGCAGCACCGGAACUCUAAGGAUGCUGAGAUCAAGAGUCGCCAAUUUGUCAGCUGCGUUUGGGGAUCGGCAGCGGGAAGUCAUUUCUAAUGUCCGCAACCAGAAAACAGAGGAGCUCCCUUCCUGCUCACCCGGAACUCCGUUCCUGGUUGCUGUGUCUGUGUGUGAAUUCUUGUUGUGAAAGUCGUGGAAGGAAACAACUUCGCAAACAGGCCUACUUUUUUUUUUGCUGAACAUGGUCACGGUCUUCAUUUACAAAGUUCAGGGAGGUAAUCAGUUUGCAUUUGGCGCGGAGCAUCGCAUUCUCUCCGUACUCGCAGAGGACGCGUCCUGCCCUCUCUUACCCCUUGAACGCGAGCUGGGCGGGUCCCUUGGCCCAGGUCUCGGCUUCCAGACCGCUCAUCCUCUCUCUCAGUCCCGCCUGAUCCAUAAGAUGCUGCCUCUUUUGAGCGAGCCCCAGUUCCACCUUUUCAAAUCCCAGCGGCUCCACUUAACAGCCAUAAACCCAUUGGCGAGUCACUUAAGCUUAUCGGGUAUCACUUUCUUCAUAUGUAAAAUGGUG